rnacentral:rRNA from 1 species
GCGCGAAAACUUUACAAUGCUGGCAACAGCGAUAAGGGAACCUCGAGUGCCAGGUUACAAAUCUGGCUGUCGAGAUGCCUAAAAAGCAUUUCGUAGCAAGGGCCGGGCAAGACCGGUGCCAGCCGCCGCGGUAACACCGGCGGCUCGAGUGGUAACCGUUAUUAUUGAGUCUAAAGGGUCUGUAGCCGGCCGGAUAAGUCUCUUGAGAAAUCUGGCAGCUUAACUGUCAGGCUUUCAGGAGAUACUGUCUGGCUCGAGGCCGGGAGAGGUGAGAGGUACUUCAGGGGUAGGGGUGAAAUCUUGUAAUCCUCGAAGGACCACCAGUGGCGAAGGCGUCUCACCAGAACGGACCUGACGGCAAGGGACGAAAGCUAGGGGCACGAACC